GGAAAAACUUUGAGGCAACAACAACUUUGAUUUCACGGGCUACAGCAGCCUCAUACAGCUAAACUGAGACACAUUGGCAGAGAAAACAGUGGUCAGGAACAAUGGUCUAGACUAACUGGAGUAAGGCCUGAUUCACCUGGGUAAAGUGGAGGCUGCUAGGUGGCAGAGGAGGUGGGCGUCAGCUGCAGCCGAGAGGAGACAUCACCUCUGACAGCUCCACCACUGAGAACACAAAGUGUGUACGGAGCAUAUGUGUGACUGGAUGUUGGAGGAGGAAGAGGCUGGAGGCAGGAAAGUGUCAGACAAACAAGUAAAGCAGC